UCUUCACAAGCAAAACGGCAAGAAAAAUAAGGUUGUUGUACUUUCUUAAUGGCGGUGGAAAUGUCACCAGACAUUUUCUGCUUGGUUUGUUUUCAAACACAAUCAGUCGGUUGCCAGUUCACACACACUAAGAGAAAGCACCGCAUGGUCAGGAGAAAUCAUGAGGAAAUUAUAGGAAAAGGGGCGGAGGCAAGGAAUUUUCCCCACCAUCGUUUCCAUACUCACCAUCUUUAGACAGAGAGAAGAGAGGAAGAAGUGCAGACACCAAAAUGGAGGGCAAGAAAGCACAUGGUGGACAGUGGGGGGAGUGAGGAAGGAACAACACAAAAGAAAUCAGGUCAGAUUGGACAGUCAAGAUUUUUGUAUGACGAAAGCAGAGCGGAACCACUUUCAACGUCUCAUGACCAAACCCAGAAAACCGUACCGUGAGGGAUUUGAGACGAUGCUACCAAGUGACAGCCAAGCAGCCUUUGAGUCAGAUGUCAACAAUGUGACCUCAAUCAAGUUGUCCCACUUCUCCAAUUGUUCCACUGUGUCCUUUGGGAUGCUCACAAGGAUUCGGCAGCACAAGUAGUCUACUCAGUGGAGUCCUGACACAUUCACGAGGUAAUGAAAAGGGAACAGAGAACGCCCUCGGGUUCUGUUACACUUGUUCAAAGCAUUACAGGGGCCGAGAACAUGGCUCUUUGACUCCCUCUAGCGGACAACACGCAGAUAACAGCUACAAAAAGUUACAUGAGUCCAUUUCUUUUUUUAAUGGAGCAGAAGAAAUUUAUUUUAGUUUCUUCGUGAUUAGAACCAAUUCACUACAAAAACUAAAUACAUCCAAAGGAUAAUUGUAUUUUCUGCUUACAUGUAAUUUUGAGUUUACAAUGCCAAAGUAGGAAAAGUUAAUCUUGUUUGGAGAUAUUCUAAUGUACCUAAUAAAGUGGCCAAUACAAUAUAUUGACAUUCCCCUUGUAUACUGUCAUGACAUCCAAUGUGUGUGAUUAAACAACUUAAUUAUAA